UAUUUCUGCUUGUCUGUUUUAAAAAUUGUUGAGCAUUUUUUCAGAAUAAAAGGUGGAGAAAUUUGUUGGAAAUCAUUAGUUACUUCCCAAACAUUAGAAAGUGUCUACUUCUACUCACAAAUUUUUAAACAUGUUCUCAUCCAGAUUGAUGUUCAUUGUUCUUUUCGCUAUAAUUGCUGUUUCGACAUGUUUUUCAAACCCAAUUUUGGGUUUAGGAGACAAUGGGCCAAGUGUUGUCGUCGAACUUAUUGAUGGUAAUGGAAAAUGCAGGGACCAGACUGGACAACUAUUAGACAUCAAUGUUUGUCUUGAUCUCCUUAAAGGAAAUUCAAUAAUAUAAUUGGAAAACUAAUACAACUUACAAACCCGCCUUUUAAUCAUGAAUAACUUUUAUCUGUGAAUAAAUUAACGCUUGGCAUAAUUCAAA